UGAUGUUCACGUUGCUAAUUGGCGAGGUCCUCUUCCAGGAUUGGCUGCCUCCUCAUAACCAUAAGAUAAUUAAAACUUGGGGGGAGGGCAGGGUUAAAAAAACUUUUUUUUUUUUUUUUUUUAUCAGCAGAGGAUAAUGCAAGUGUUUAACAGAUGCUUCGCUAUUAAACUAUUUUUUUCCCCCAAGUCUCAAAUAUUGAAGAAUCUCUAACCAGGGACAGCAGCCCCAACGAAGACCUCGGCAGAUUGCAAAGUGCGGGCACCUCGAUUCCCUGAAUCUGUAGUGUGGCUGGUAUCGGUGUUCCCCUGGUUUAACUAGCCUGUUUGGCAUAACAAAUGAGACCCAAGUGCUCACAGAACAUUCCAAAGAGUCAACAGAGAGAAGUGGAAACUAUUAGAAACAUGAUUGUGUUUGCAAAGGGAGACAUAAAUGUAAGCUUAGCUUGGCCAAAAUCUUAAAUUCAAGCACUGAAUCUAAUUACAGACCUACAUACAAAAAAGAUGUUUAGAAGUUGAUUCCGUGUAAUAGAUGUUACCUGCACGACUACUGGAAGCAUUUGAGUUUACUUAGUUAAAUAGAGAAGGGAAUGAUUAUCUCAUUUUCUUCAAACCAGGACAAAUUUGGUAAGUUGGCAAAAUGGAUAAAUUGUUGAAUUUCCUUGACUUCAUCUCACUCCUGACCAAAAAUGAGGUCUUCCCUCUUCCCUUUCUCCAUCAAAUGCUCAUUUUUUCUUUUCCCUUUCUUCAUCAAAUUCUUAUUCUUUUUAUUGCAGUUAGCAUCCCCCAAGGAGAGUAUUCUAAUAAGGGAAUCCACACUGAUGUAAAUGACUGCACCAGCUUGACGUUUUACCCCUCCAGAGUUCCUGGAAGUUUAAAAGAGGAUAGUAACCAUGGCUUCACCUCUGGCAUCUGCCAAGUCAGCGGAGAUACUUAUAGGGACAUAACUCUUAUUUUGCAUGAUUGUAGUCUCUCAAAUCAAAUUAUAUAUUUUUGAUUAUUGGCUUUUACACUGUGUAUGUAAGGCAAGCCUUACCCUAAAGCCUAUUUCUAUGAGCCCAUUCAGAUUUCUACACCAGAAUCUAGAAAACUGAAAGAAAUCAACAGGGAAAUGUUUAAAAAGAUGGGGAAAUUGAGGCAGAGAAAUCAAGACAUUUGCUGCAGGUCGUGCAGGCUAUGAAUGGAGCUGGAAUGUGAACGCAGGCCGUGUGACUCCAGAGCCCAUGUUCUUGAACUCUUAGCAAGACAGCAGCAACGCACCUGGUGCAGCAGCUGCUUAGCUGGAGUGGCUGACAAGGUUGGGAGAGGGUCCUGUUCCUCCAUGGAGUGGCUGCCGAGACACUGCUUACACCGAAGCUGCUUCUAUUCCUGAAAUAUGGAUUGUUAUUCUUUUCCCACCCUCGUUGAACAUUGUACUCUUCUGUUCUUUCCUAUUCUCUUCUUUCCUUCCAGAUGGCUCCUACGGUUUUUAUGAUUCUGUAAUUCUAAGGAAGAAAGGGUAAUGAAAGUUGUAAUGUGAGUGUG